rfam:Triticum aestivum genome assembly, contig: Triticum_aestivum_CS42_TGACv1_scaffold_424766_5BS
CAUAUACUUCCUCCGUCCGAAAAUAUUUGUCAUCAAAAUGAUUAAAAGAAGAUGUAUCUAGACGUUUUUUAGUUCUAGAUACAACCCUUUUUAUCCAUUUUGAAGACAAGUAUUUUCGGACAGAGGGAGUAUGAG